rnacentral:rRNA from 1 species
AUACGGAGGAUGCAAGCGUUAUCCGGAUUUAUUGGGUUUAAAGGGUGCGUAGGCGGUUUGCUAAGCGGGAGGUGAAAUGCCGGCGCUCAACGUCGGAAGUGCCUCCCGAACUGGUGGACUUGAAUGACUCUGCCGUGGGAGGAAUGUGUAGUGUAGCGGUGAAAUGCUUAGAGAUUACACAGAACACCGAUUGCGAAGGCAUCUCACGAAGGGUUGAUUGACGCUGAGGCACGAAAGCGUGGGGAUCAAACAGGAUUAGAUACCCUGGUAGUCCACGCAGUAAACGAUGAUGGCUAACCGCUGGGCUUAUCAGUUCAGUGGCCAAGCGAAAGCGAUAAGCCAUCCACCUGGGGAGUACGACCGCAAGGUUGAAACUCAAAUGAAUGGACGGGG